rnacentral:rRNA from 1 species
ACUAACGCUGGCGGCGUGCCUAACACAUGCAAGUCGGACGAUUCGUCUUUGUAGCAAUAUAGAAGACGGGGAGUGGCGCACGGGUGAGUAACACAUAGAUGAUCUGCCUUCAGACAGGGACAACUCAGGGAAACUUGAGCUAAUACCAGAUAAGACCACAUGAAGGGAUUCACGUGACCAAAGGGGGAGCAAUCUCCUGCUGGAAGAUGAGUCUAUGUCCUAUCAGCUAGUUGGUGGGGUAAGGGCCUACCAAGGCGAAGACGGGUAGCCGGCCUGAGAGGGUGAACGGCCACACUGGAACUGAGACACGGUCCAGACUCCUACGGGAGGCAGCAGUGAGGAAUUUUCCGCAAUGGGCGCAAGCCUGACGGAGCGACGCCGCGUGGAGGGAUGAAGGUUUUCGGAUACGUAAACCUCUUUUAUCAAGGAGAAAGUCUUUUAUGCUAAUAACAUAGAAGAUUGAUAGUACUUAAUGAAUAAGCCCCGGCUAACUACGUGCCAGCCGCCGC